UGGUGAUAAUCAUAAACCGCCAAAAAAUGUUGUUUUUAGGGCUCAUUCUUUAUUUUUGUUUUUUCAAUCAACGUUGUAAACUCCAUCACGUAGCAUUUGAGACUUCGCACUUGCCUAAACUUCAAAGCUUUUGGAACAUUUCUCUUGCUCUGUACGUAGGACAUCUUUUGAAAACAAAAAUUGUCUCAACUUUCAAAAGCAAAUUAAAUUAGAAACCUUCAACAUGUCAUUGAAAUCAAUAUUCUUCUUCUCUCUGCGUUGUGUUGAUUCCAGCUACCAUUGGUCUCGUUUUCUCAAUCUAAAUCUAUAGAAUCCCUCAUCUCCUUGGUACGCAUCAAAGCCCCAAGAAAAUUUCUUGCAAUCGAAGCUUUGAUCGAACCCUAGCUAUGACCAUCAAAACCAUUUCUAGCUACCACUGUAAGCUUCUAAGAAAUCUACUCCGAGUAAAGCUUUCUUCUUGUCAACCGCAACAAGACUUUACCAGGCAAGGCUUGACUUCUCUGGGAGGAUGGUAGUUGACACUACAAUAUUGAGGAAGUUUUGCAAUUAUGCUUCAAGGCAUAGUAAAUAAGAUCCACUUGGUGUUCUUCAGAUGUAAUAUGACUUUGUUGGUACAUUAAUAAUUUUUAUUUUGUAUUUUUAUUUAUAUGUGAGUAUAUUUGUAAUUUUUGGAUAUAUAUUUGAUUUCUAUGACUAACUGGCCUUUUACUCCAUACCACAACAUUAAAUAUAUGAGGCAAUGACGUUUGGUUUA